rnacentral:pre_miRNA from 1 species
AGUAGGAUUGCUGGGUCAUAUGGUAACUCCAUAUUUAACCAGUUGAGGAAUUUCCAGUCUGUUUUCCAAAGUGGUCACACCAUUUUACUUUCCCAUCAGCAAU